GACGAACGCUGGCGGCGUGCUUAACACAUGCAAGUCGAACGGAAAGGCCCUGCUUUUGUGGGGUGCUCGAGUGGCGAACGGGUGAGUAACACGUGAGUAACCUGCCCUUGACUUUGGGAUAACUUCAGGAAACUGGGGCUAAUACCGGAUAGGAGCUCCUGCUGCAUGGUGGGGGUUGGAAAGUUUCGGCGGUUGGGGAUGGACUCGCGGCUUAUCAGCUUGUUGGUGGGGUAGUGGCUUACCAAGGCUUUGACGGGUAGCCGGCCUGAGAGGGUGUCCGGCCACAUUGGGACUGAGAUACGGCCCAGACUCCUACGGGAGGCAGCAGUGGGGAAUAUUGCACAAUGGGCGGAAGCCUGAUGCAGCAACGCCGCGUGCGGGAUGACGGCCUUCGGGUUGUAAACCGCCUUCGCCUGUGACGAAGCGUGAGUGACGGUAAUGGGUAAAGAAGCACCGGCUAACUACGUG
rnacentral:rRNA from 1 species